AAGGCAAGGAUACCCCUACAUCAAGGAGAGGCCAGAUGCCCGAGUGAGCCCCCACUCCCCCAGCUUCGUUGGUUCUGCUGGUCAGAGCAACGCUUUCCGGACAGAAGUGAAAUCUCAGAACAUCCGAGCUGGAGGGGCCCUCAGAGGCCACCAGCUAUCAUCUUUUCAUUUUACAGCGGAGGAGAGACAAAGCAAGGCUGCAAAGAGAUGAAAGGUCUUGCCCAGAGUCACAUAACGGUGAGGAACAGGAGACCCGCAGAGGGGAUGGCCUCCUGGGGACCCCAGCUGCGCGGGUAGAAGCAGGACUUGAAGCAUUCUCUCUCUUCCUUCCUUGGACACACCUACUCGGAGGCUCCUGGCCCCGGGAGGCCCCCAGCGGAGCUGGAGGAGGGCCCAGCACCAGGGGUGGGUGAGAUGCCAGCACCCCCUUGGAGAUCAGAACUGCUAGUCGGGUCAGCUGACCCCAUCUCUGGCCACCUGAGUGACCCUCCUGGGGGACUGGACCUGGAGCUUGGGCUCCUCGGGUGCCAGCGUCACUGCUCUGGUCUCCCCAGUCUGCCCAGAGCCCCCUAAAGCCCACCGUGUGCUCAGCCAUGGGACUCCUCAUCCGAAGCCUCCGAGCCCUCCUUUUCCCAUCCCUCCACCACCCGGCCCGCUGGUACCAGAGCUGCCCUGCAGGACAAGCCUCAGCCUGGGCCACAGGCAAGGCCGCUUGACUCAGCAGUCCCUGCUGUGCCCACAGCCGGCGGGGAGGUUGCAGGUGCCUCCCCUCCCUGCCCAGGCAUCAAGUCACAGGGCUUGAAUACUUCCCAGGACAGGGAGCUCAUCAGCCCCAGGCAGCAGCCUGCCCCAGGCAGAAACGCUUCGACUUCCGAGACAAGUCCUUUGUGAUGAACUGACACCUGAACACCGGUUAAUUCCAUCUGUUUACACAUUUUCGUCAUCCGCAUCAUUAUUAAUACUGUCUACAUACCAGCACACUGCAGUAUGUCAGCGAAUCCUUCACCACUUGUGGAGCUGGGGCCUGUCUCUCCAUCAUGUACUGGUAGAUGGGAAACCUGAGGUCCAGAGGAAGUGUGUCACCUAAGUGUGUGACACGGCCAGGAAGUCACAGAACGUGGGCUCAGAUCCAGAGCCCAGGCCCUUGCCAGCCAGGGGUGUGCCCAUCCAGGUUCCACCAUCUGCUUAGCUCCCCUCUCCAGCGUGUUCUUACUUCUCUGCCAGGGGCCACUACCCCACAAAGCUCACACCUUCUCCCCCAGACCCUGCAGAUGGAUCAACUACUCCUCCAGGAAGUCCUCCUGAGACAGCCAAAGGGUAUGGAAGGAACCCUCUUCCCAAGGUAUCUUCUAAUAGAGGAAGGGAGGGGUUAAGGGGUGGGAGACAGGUGUCUUAUUC
ensembl:lncRNA